rnacentral:misc_RNA from 1 species
AAGUCGUAACAAGGUUUCCGUAGGUGAACCUGCGGAAGGAUCAUUAUCAUCCUUAUUUUAUUUUAUUUUUGUAUUCACUUACAAAAUAAAAUAAAAACAAUAAACCAAUCGUGAACCGUUUUGCCUCCAAUGAAAAUUGAAAAUUAGUAUUUUCAAAAUAAUACUUUUUCUCAUUUUGAGUGAGUGCACUUUAACUGUUUGAUACAUAAAAACCAAUUUUUGUUGUUUUCAUUGUUUUUUUGUAUUUAUGUUAUUGUGCCAUGAUUUCACCGUCACGCUCUGUUUCAUUGGUUGUAUUUUUUUUUUCAAAAACAAAUUAUUUACCUUUUAAACAAAUUCAUUCAUAUUUUUAUGAACUGAAAAAAAGAGUUAAAAAAUAAUAAUGUAAAAUUAUAAAACAACUCUUAGCAACGGAUAUCUUGGUUCUC